rnacentral:lncRNA from 1 species
ACAUUUUGGAUAACUUCGUAUUGAGACAUGAAACUGUGAGUCCUAAGUUAUUAUAUUUAGUUUCACUACCGUCACUUUUUAUAUAUAUUUGCAGGAAUGGACAGUGGCAACAGCUACUGUUAUGUUACGUACGUAGAAAAGCUAAAACGAAUAGUAAUUUGGGAUGGAGGGAGUAUUGAAGAAAAAACACUGGUAAAAUUCUAUUUAGUUUGGCUCUCUGGAGGGUGUGAUGCUAUUAAGUGGCCUGUCGAAAAUGAAGCUAAAUUCGGUGGUACAAGUAUAAUUUGAUGCUGACGCAGAGCUCAACGGGACCAGAUUAAACAUUAUAUAUAACUCCACGCAUGGGAAAGCACAAGAUCGAUCAAUUCUGAUGUGCAUUUGCAGCCUUUUGCGUGCAUUCAGUCCAAGGAUGGAUUCGGAUGGCAGAAAAUCUGAAUUAUUCGAUAUCCGUAUUCGAUUUUAGUUAAAUAUGGAUAUCCGUAUCCGUAUUUGUUUUAAUAUGGAUGUCUAAAUGGGUGUAUCCGUAUUCAAUUUUUAAUGUUUUUCUCUAUCCGAUUCCAGAUUCGUAUUCGACAAAAAUAUGAAAUAUCCGAC